GCCCGGGUGGUGGAAUGGUAUACACGAAGGACUUAAAAUCCUUUGACCGUAAGGUCUUGCGAGUUCGAGUCUCGCCUCGGGCACCA
rnacentral:tRNA from 1 species